CUCUCCUACAAAGGUAUGUCUGUGGUUCCUAUCUUUGGACAUGGAAGAACUGGAGGUAAAAAAAAAAAAAAAAUGGACUUAGAGAAGUCUUGGGCCAACUCGCUCUCUGCAGGCUAACAAUCAACCUUCUCACAAAG
rfam:Erinaceus europaeus unplaced genomic scaffold scaffold00554, whole genome shotgun sequence